rnacentral:rRNA from 1 species
UACGUAGGGGGCAAGCGUUAUCCGGAUUUACUGGGUGUAAAGGGGGCGCAGACGGCGAUGCAAGCCAGGAGUGAAAGCCCGGGGCCCAACCCCGGGACUGCUCUUGGAACUGCGUGGCUGGAGUGCAGGAGGGGCAGGCGGAAUUCCUGGUGUAGCGGUGAAAUGCGUAGAUAUUAGGAGGAACACCAGUGGCGAAGGCGGCCUACUGGACGGUGACUGACGCUGAGGCUCGAAAGCGUGGGGAGCAAACAGG